GAUGAACGCUGGCGGCGUGCUUAACACAUGCAAGUCGAACGGUAAGGCCCUUCGGGGUACACGAGUGGCGAACGGGUGAGUAACACGUGGGUGAUCUGCCCUGCACUUCGGGAUAAGCCUGGGAAACUGGGUCUAAUACCGGAUAGGACUCCUGGCUUCAUGGUUGGGGGUGGAAAGCUUUUGCGGUGUGGGAUGGGCCCGCGGCCUAUCAGCUUGUUGGUGGGGUAAUGGCCUACCAAGGCGACGACGGGUAGCCGGCAUGAGAGGGUGACCGGUCACACUGGGACUGAGAUACGGCCCAGACUCCUACGGGAGGCAGCAGUGGGGAAUAUUGCACAAUGGGCGCAAGCCUGAUGCAGCGACGCCGCGUGAGGGAUGACGGCCUUCGGGUUGUAAACCUCUUUCAGCUAUGACGAAGCGCAAGUGACGGUAGUAGCAGAAGAAGGACCGGCCAACUACGUGCCAGCAGCCGCCGUAA
rnacentral:rRNA from 1 species